UUAUUCAACAGAUGGAGAGUAUUGGGUGUAUCCUUCGGCAGUUGACAAUAAACGUGUUAAAGUUUAUUGUCAUGGAAUGUCCACUACAACGCCAACGGAAUUCCUCACACUGGUGUAUGAGAAUAAGGCAUUUUAUGCGUUUAAGCAACAGAAAAAUGGUGUUUCUCGUUGCAGCACAGUAGUAACAAAAACGUGGCCAGCGUCGGGCACUACCACAUAUCAAAAAGUCAGAAUUAACACCAAAAAUAUGGAAGUCAUAGAUAAUGAUUUUACUUUCACAUCCACGACUAAUGUCAACAAUAAGUUUGUUAAAUAUGGCUAUGCCGUAUCGUGCAGUUUAUACCACUCAUGUGAACCACUUGGAACUAUGAAACUUGACAUCACUAAUACUGGACUGAUUUUCAAUAAUGAGACCACGUGGGAAGCUUACGGCUGGGCGGGAAAAAUUGGUCACGUUACUUUUGAAAGCAACACAUUGAUCGAUGGUCUGUGUGAUGGGUACGCUGGUGGAUGUAGACCAACCACCCCUCUAAAUUUCAAAAUAGACCAGUCUUAUACACCUCCCAUGAGUUCUGCCACGGUAGUCAACUGUAUCGCCUAGAUGUCUAUCAGAGAUGAAGAAUGUGCGAUAAAAGGCAAAGGGCACUUUUAUUUUCACCGAAAAAUGCAAAAGAAGUUCCAUUGUAAUUGACCAAAGUUAGUGGUGUAUGCAAUUAAAAUUAUUAUUAUAGCGCGUAUACAAAUACGUGAACUUAUUGAACUAUCCAAUUGGCCUUAUUUUUUUGCGGGGCUUUAUUUUAUUUUGUGGUGCAUUAUGGGGAUUUUAAAGUCCAAUUGUAUGGAGUGAUUCUGAUUGGUUCAGCGAAUAUACUAUUGACCUAUCC